GAUGAACGCUGGCGGCGUGCUUAACACAUGCAAGUCGAACGGAGUUACAUGAAACCUAGUGAUUGUAACUUAGUGGCGGACGGGUGAGUAACGCGUGGGUAACCUGGCGUAUACAGGGGGAUAACACUUAGAAAUAGGUGCUAAUACCGCAUAAGCGCACGAAUUCGCAUGAAUUAGUGUGAAAAACUAAGGUGGUAUACGAUGGACCCGCGUCUGAUUAGCUAGUUGGUGAGGUAACGGCCCACCAAGGCGACGAUCAGUAGCCGGCCUGAGAGGGUGAACGGCCACAUUGGGACUGAGACACGGCCCAAACUCCUACGGGAGGCAGCAGUGGGGAAUAUUGGACAAUGGGGGAAACCCUGAUCCAGCGACGCCGCGUGAGUGAAGAAGUAUUUCGGUAUGUAAAGCUCUAUCAGCAGGGAAGAAAUUGACAGUACCUGACUAAGAAGCCCCGGCUAACUACGUG
rnacentral:rRNA from 1 species